CCACAAAUGAGAUCUAUUGAGUAUAACUGCAGCUGGGGGCUGGAAUACAUAUCCCAUAAACUCCGCUGGACAAGAGUUUAUGAGAUGAGAUCAGACUCCUUAGACCAGAAUGAGAGACUCCUGAAUUAGUUAAGUCUCUUAGUUAACAUUUUAUUUUUUGAAAACAGAAAAAAGGUUUUUUUCUAAAUCAAAGAGGCAAACUGAAUAAAA